rnacentral:rRNA from 1 species
AUUGAACGCUGGCGGCAGGCCUAACACAUGCAAGUCGAACGAGUGGCGGACGGGUGAGUAAUGUCUGGGAAACUGCCCGAUGGAGGGGGAUAACUACUGGAAACGGUAGCUAAUACCGCAUACCAUCUGAUGUGCCCAGAUGGGAUUGGCUGGUAGGUGAGGUAACGGCUCACCUAGACGACGAUCCCUAGCUGGUCUGAGAGGAUGAACAGCCACACGGGAACGUGGACAGGGUCAAGGUGACUACGGGAGGCAGCAGUGGGGAAUAUGGCACAAUGGGCGCAAGCCUGAUGCAGCCAUGCCGCGUGUAUUAAGAAGGCCUUCGGGUUGUAAAGUACUUUCAGCGGGGAGGCGUGACCCGCAGAAGAAGCACCGGCUAACUCCGUGCCAGCAGCCGCGGUAAUUC